rnacentral:tRNA from 1 species
GAGAACCUAGUAAACAUAAUUACAUAACCUUGUCAUGGUUAAAUCACAUUCUUGUGGUUCUCA